rnacentral:rRNA from 1 species
AUACGUAGGUGACAAGCGUUAUCCGGAUUUACUGGGCGUAAAGGGCGUGUAGGCGGUCUUGCAAGUCAGAAGUGAAAUUCCUGAGCUCAACUCGGGCGCUGCUUCUGAAACUGCUUUACUUGAGUGCUGGAGAGGAUAGUGGAAUUCCUAGUGUAGCGGUAAAAUGCGCAGAUAUUAGGAGGAACACCGGUGGCGAAGGCGGCUAUCUGGACAGUAACUGACGCUGAGGCGCGAAAGCACGGGGAGCAAACAGGAUUAGAUACCCUGGUAGUCCGUGCCGUAAACGAUGAAUACUAGGUGUAGGGGGUAUCGACUCCCUCUGUGCCGCAGUUAACACAUUAAGUAUUCCACCUGGGGAGUACGGCCGCAAGGUUGAAACUCAAAUGAAUGGGCGGGG